rnacentral:rRNA from 1 species
GCGAGCGGCGGAUGGGUGAGUAACACGUGGGGAACCUGCCCCUAAGUCUGGGAUACCAUUUGGAAACAGGUGCUAAUACCGGAUAAUAAAGCAGAUCGCAUGAUCAGCUUUUGAAAGGCGGCGUAAGCUGUCGCUAAGGGAUGGCCCCGCGGUGCAUUAGCUAGUUGGUAAGGUAACGGCUUACCAAGGCGACGAUGCAUAGCCGAGUUGAGAGACUGAUCGGCCACAUUGGGACUGAGACACGGCCCAAACUCCUACGGGAGGCAGCAGUAGGGAAUCUUCCACAAUGGACGCAAGUCUGAUGGAGCAACGCCGCGUGAGUGAAGAAGGUUUUCGGAUCGUAAAGCUCUGUUGUUGGUGAAGAAGGAUAGAGGUAGUAACUGGCCUUUAUUUGACGGUAAUCAACCAGAAAGUCACGGCUAACUACGUGCCAGCAGCCGCGGUAAUACGUAGGUGGCAAGCGUUGUCCGGAUUUAUUGGGCGUAAAGCGAGCGCAGGCGGAAAAAUAAGUCUAAUGUGAAAGCCCUCGGCUUAACCGAGGAACUGCAUCGGAAACUGUUUUUCUUGAGUGCAGAAGAGGAGAGUGGAACUCCAUGUGUAGCGGUGGAAUGCGUAGAUAUAUGGAAGAACACCAGUGGCGAAGGCGGCUCUCUGGUCUGCAACUGACGCUGAGGCUCGAAAGCAUGGGUAGCGAACAGGAUUAGAUACCCUGGUAGUCCAUGCCGUAAACGAUGAGUGCUAAGUGUUGGGGAGGUUUCCGCCUCUCAGUGCUGCAGCUAACGCAUUUAAGCACUCCGCCUGGGGAAGUACGACCGCAAGGUUGAAACUCAAAGGAAAUUGACGGGGGCCC